rnacentral:tRNA from 1 species
GUGGGUAUAGCUCAGUGUUAGGGUAUAUGCUUUGCAUGCACGAGGUCCUGGGUGCAAUCCCCAGGACCUCCA